rnacentral:rRNA from 1 species
UACGGGGGGGGCAAGCGUUGUUCGGAAUUACUGGGCGUAAAGGGCUCGUAGGCGGCCAACUAAGUCAUACGUGAAAUCCCUCGGCUUAACCGGGGAACUGCGUCUGAUACUGGAUGGCUUGAGUUCGGGAGAGGGAUGCGGAAUUCCAGGUGUAGCGGUGAAAUGCGUAGAUAUCGUAAGGAAGACCAGUGGCGAAGGCGGGUCUCUGGACAGUUCCUGACGCUGAGGCACGAAGGUCAGGGGAGCAAACGGG